AUGCAUAUUCUUAUUUAUUUUGAGCUUUUUUUUAAUUACUUAUUUGUUUCGUUUGAUUCGUAAGAUUAGAAACAUAUGGAGUUCUUCGAUGCGUGAGAUUGAGGUGAUUUUGAUAAAAUUUGAUAUUUGUGUUUAAGGUAGUAUCUUAAAAUCUGAUUUGCUCGAUAUAAACUUAGAAUUAUCCACAAAUAUCGAUUGGUUGGUUUGAGCCUAUGAAUCAGAAGUUUUGAUUCCGAGAUCGAUGUAUCCGACUGUUCCUGCCGCUUUCGUUUGUAUGUAAUCUUGAUUAGAAUCCGGACUCAUUAAUGAUAAUCCGAAAUCAGACGCUCUCGCUGUCAAGUUUGUGUCCAUGAGAAUGUUUGAUGACUUUAUGUCUCUGUAGGACAAGGUGUUGCUGAUUGAUUUGGUUGUGUUAUGCAUCCUCCAUUGAACUUAACAAACACCUUAUGUGCGCCGAAGUGAGUGUUUUUGAUAAUUUUCUUUAAUGUUUACUUAUUUUUUAUUAGCAUUAUUUAUGCUCUCACUGUUAUUCUUCAUGUGCUUGUUCAACUAUCCACUCUUAUUCUUAACUUGUAGUUUUGUUGGAGUUUUUGUAAUGUCACAACCUAUAUUGUGUAUGAAAGCCAUGGCAUGAUCAAUUCUGAAACUAUCAAACAUUGCAAAUUUAGCUGUUGAAGAAGAUCUCUUUGCAAAGUUGUCUUUCUUCAUGGUGGCUUAACAGAAGGAAGAUCUAUGCCUUUUGUGUUUAGGAAUACAUUGAUCCUCAUAUAUGUGGAGAUUAUGAGGUUAGUUAAUUUUAUACACGAUUUGUCUUUUUCUUGGGCACAAGAUGCAGCUUCUAUGGUAAGCAAUGAUACAAAAUCUGUGUAGAACCAACUUGCACAGCCAGGGUAAGCAUGUACCCCUGUUGACAUCUACUGGAGCUCUUUCCAGGUCAACUUCUUAAAGAGGACUUCAAAUUAUGUUUACAUAGUUUAAUACAAAUACUCGAAGAAGAGUAGAUGAACUUUUAAUACCCUGAAACUUGCAAUUGUUAUGAACUUAAUACCCUGAAACAUGGGGUUAUUAUUGUGUGAUUCUCUUUAAAGUAUAACUUUGUUAAAUAAGUCUAUUAAGUUUUGGUUAUUGACAACAUAUAUGUUGUCGUAUAAAUUCAUUUCAAAUUGAUUCUUGAUUAUUAUGAUUCCUCUUCAGAAACUCUGAGGAGCAAUGGCAAUCUCUCCACAGUUAAGCAUGUAUGUUUUGAUGUCAAUUAUUGGUUAUAUAAGGCUGCUACUCCUUUGGUUCUACUCCACUGGCUGGUUGAGAUUGCUACUAUCGAAUCGUUGACAAUUACUUCAACUACGCUUUAGGCUCUUUCCCCUGUUCCGAUUUAUUGAAGUCUGAGUGGUCCUUGUGUGACUUGAAGUCACAGAAAGUAAGAAAGAACUCACCCGUUCCCGCUGGAUUAGUGGAGUUUUUGCUUCAAAACCCACCCUCAACAGAGGUUAACAUUGUUGAUUAAUUAAGGUCAGGUGUGCAUUCAACAUUUUAAAGAUAACUUUCUUUAUUUUCUGUUUCCCCUCUAACCUUUGUGUAUAGUUAUUGAUUGUUUGAAAAAAAUCUUGCUGUCAUUAAAGAUAAAAAGUAUUAACUACUGAAUUUGCAAAUUCUAUGAGCAAAGUACUAAUUCAAAUUGGUCAAGGGUUGGUUUGGCGGUAGCUGAGUUAGAGUUGUUGUAAAAUUAGUAAGCACUAAUAAUACUAGUAGCAAAAAUAAGGUAGUCUGCUUUAUCUUCUUUAUUGGUAUUUAAAAUCUCUAGACUAGGUUGUUUUUCUGUUCUUGGAAGACACAAAUAAUAUAUAUGUUAGUUGUUAUUCUAUGAAUUGAAUGAAUAUAAUAUUCUAAUUGAUGGAUGUAAUUUAAGUUUAUGAUACUUUGAUGGAGAACUAUUUUGGUUUGUCGAGACAAUGGAGAAUUUGUUUGCUCUCUCAUUCUUA